rnacentral:rRNA from 1 species
ACUCCUAGGGGAGGGAGGAGUGGGGAAUAUUGCACAAUGGGCGCAAGCGUGAUGCAGCGACGCCGCGUGAGGGAUGGAGGCCCUCGGGUUGUAAACCUCUUUGAUCGGGGAGCAAGCGUGAGUGAGUUUACCCGUUGAAUAAGCACCGGCUAACUAUGUGCCAGCAGCCGCGGUAA